rnacentral:tRNA from 1 species
GGGGUUGUAGAUCAGUGGUAGAGUGCUUGCCUUGCACGCAUGAAGCCCUGGGUUCGGUCCCCAGCACCACA